rnacentral:tRNA from 1 species
GCCCUGUUGGCCAAGUGGUAAGGCGUCGCACUCGUAAUGCGAAGAUCGUCGGUUCGAUUCCGACACCGGGCA